GUAGCUCAGUUGGUUAGAGCGCUCGGCUCAUAACCGAGUGGUCAUCGGUUCAAAUCCGGUC
rnacentral:tRNA from 1 species